rnacentral:rRNA from 1 species
UACGGGGGGAGCAAGCGUUGUUCGGAUUUACUGGGCGUAAAGGGCGCGUAGGCGGCCACCGCAAGUCGACUGUGAAAUCUCCGGGCUUAACCCGGAAAGGUCAGCCGAUACUGCGGGGCUAGAGUGCAGAAGGGGCAACUGGAAUUCUCGGUGUAGCGGUGAAAUGCGUAGAUAUCGGAAGGAACAUCAGUGGCGAAAGCGACUUCCUGGACCAAUACUGACGCUCGUGUGCGAAAGCGUGGGGAGCGAACAGG